AUGAUUUUUGUUUCACCUGCAGGUUCGCCUACUUAGAGUCAUUAAAACAGUACAGUAACAAUCUGCGUCUGACCUCCUUUAUUCUCCAGUUUGUUCCAUUUAUUCAUUUAUUUAUUUAUUUAUUUCGUUUAUUUAUUUUUGUCCCCUGUCCUUCAGGCGCGAUCGUUUAGCGGAGAUGUCCCGGCAGCUGCCAGCCUGGCUUUCCUCCAGACGGUGGUGUUGGAGGAUUACCUGCAGAGAGUGAGGAGGGCAGAUUUUGAUGUUUUUCACUCCAGUCUGAGGAACAGAAACCCUCUAAUCCCCAUCCAGCUGUACAUCCGCUCCUGGAAGAAGACCUACUGAUAAGUCCUUCACCUCCUCCUGCUGCUCCUCCUGCUGCUCCUCCUGCAGAUGUCCCAGCUGAUCUGCAGGACUGAAGCAGAAACGUUGCCUCAGUGGAGGAUUCACGCUGCAUCGGGUCCACAGAGAACUUUAGACUCGUUUUAAACCACUUCCGUUUGUUUCCUGAAUAAAAAACACAAACUGCA